UACAGAGGUCCCAAGCGUUGUUCGGAUUUAUUGGGCGUAAAGGGUGCGUAGGCGGUCGCCUAAGUCAGGUGUGAAAUCUCGGGGCUCAACCUCGAAACUGCACUUGAUACUGGGUGGCUAGAGUACUGGAGAGGAGACUGGAAUUUACGGUGUAGCAGUGAAAUGCGUAGAUAUCGUAAGGAAGACCAGUGGCGAAGGCGAGUCUCUGGACAGUUACUGACGCUGAGGCACGAAGGCCAGGGGAGCAAACGGG
rnacentral:rRNA from 1 species